UACGUAGGUGGCGAGCGUUGUCCGGAAUUACUGGGCGUAAAGGGCGCGUAGGCGGUCUGCUAAGUUGGAUGUGAAAACUCUGGGCUUAACCCAGAGCCUGCAUUCAAUACUGACAGGCUAGAGUUCUGGAGGGGAUAGCGGAAUUCCUGGUGUAGCGGUGAAAUGCGUAGAUAUCAGGAGGAACACCGGUGGCGAAAGCGGCGCGCUGGACCUCUUCUGACGCUGAGGCGCGAAAGCCAGGGGAGCAAACGGG
rnacentral:rRNA from 1 species